AGACGGUACCUUAGAAGGAAGCUCCGGCUAACUACGUGCCAGCAGCCGCGGUAAUACGUAGGGAGCGAGCGUUAUCCGGAAUUACUGGGUGUAAAGGGAGUGUAGGCGGGACUGUAAGUCAGAUGUGAAAUAUACCGGCUCAACUGGUAGACUGCAUUUGAAACUGCGGUUCUUGAGUGAAGUAGAGGUAAGCGGAAUUCCUAGUGUAGCGGUGAAAUGCGUAGAUAUUAGGAGGAACAUCAGUGGCGAAGGCGGCUUACUGGGCUUUAACUGACGCUGAGGCUCGAAAGCGUGGGGAGCAAACAGGAUUAGAUACCCUG
rnacentral:rRNA from 1 species